GACGAACCGUCCGAACGUUAUUCGGAAUUAUUGGGCUUAAAGGGUGCGUAGGCGGCGCUGUAAGUCAGGUGUGAAAUCCCACGGCUCAACCGUGGAAUGGCGCCCGAUACUGCAGUGCUCGAGGGAGACAGAGGUAAGCGGAACUGAUGGUGGAGCGGUGAAAUGCGUUGAUAUCAUCAGGAACACCAGUGGCGAAAGCGGCUUACUGGGUCUCUUCUGACGCUGAGGCAAGAAAGCUAGGGUAGCGAACGGG
rnacentral:rRNA from 1 species